GAGACUUACACUUAACUUACACAUUCCAUGCAAGUGCGUGCAUGCAUGUGCAGCCGCCGCUACCACGCGCACACUAAAAUCGCCCUUUUAAAUCCUGCUUCGCUCUCUUUGCCUAACGCGUCAACGGUCAAGGUCAAACGCCGUUCAAAGUUAAAGUUAUUAACGGACGCAGGACGCUGGACGCCGCCAGUAAGGGACAACACGGACGUCCCGCGGACUCGGACGGAUGGCCUGGAUCCAGCGGUUAACAAGCUUCAAGAGCCUUCCGGUGACAUUUUGCACGACGAAAAAAGAUGCAAUCGUUAAAGUUCUGCAGUUUGGGCUUCCAGAUAGGCAGUGCUGGCAUCGUAUGAUAUAAAAUUUUGUAGCUAUAAUUAUGUGAUAUGAUUGAUAACUAAUAAAUAAUGCAUAUUUUUAAAA